rnacentral:rRNA from 1 species
UACAGAGGUCUCAAGCGUUGUUCGGAAUCACUGGGCUUAAAGGGCGCGUAGGCGGUCCGACAAGUCAGGGGUGAAAUCCUGCAGCUUAACUGCAGAAGUGCCUUUGAUACUGUCGGUCUUGAGGGAGAUAGGGGUGUGCGGAACUCACAGUGGAGCGGUGAAAUGCGUUGAUAUUGUGAGGAACGCCGGAGGCGAAAGCGGCGCACUGGAUCUCUUCUGACGCUGAGGCGCGAAGGUCAGGGGAGCAAACGGG